GGAAGGGUUCCCCUAUUGCCCCUCUGCUCUUCCUCCAGCGGAACAAUGUGAUCCACCGUGAGAAACAACUGCUCCUGGCUCACCAAUUAUGUCAGAAAGGAGGAUGAGCAUUGAAGAAACUCGUUAUGGAGUUUGCUUUCAACAUGGCAAGAUUAGCCAUUUGGGCAAGAAACUGCUCUUGCCUGGACUGUUUGUUGCUGUAUAAACUGGACAUGCAGGACCCACAAGAAAGUGACUGCUGAACUUACAAAACAAGACAGUACUGAAGGGUUCCUGUUGAAAUGGAGAAGUGUGCCAGACACACUGUGGCCUAUGGGCUGAAGAUGGAUGCCCCAACGUUACAGAGGAACUUUGGGUGACUGUCCAGAUUCCACUGAGGAGAAAAAUGGAGAAAGACUAUGGAGAAAAGAGUGGAGUCAAGAGAAAGAAGCAAGCUUUACUAAAGAGAAAGUCUAUGAGAUGGCUAGGUGGGUAGGCUUGCCACCAAGCCUGAUGACUGAACUUCCUUGGAGCCCACAUGGUAGAAUGUGAGAAUUAACUCCCACAAGUUGUCAUCUGACAUCCACAUACACAUGGUGGCACACACUCAUGCACAACGCACCCACCCUCCUACACACAUGAAAGUUUUAAAAUACCCCUAGUAUCCAGCAACAGACAGCUAUGUACCAUGAAGCCAAUUAAUCAAGUAUGCAACAGAAACAAUGCCUGACCUUAAUGGCUCAGUACUCUAGGUUCCUCUUAAAAUCUUAGAUGCCUAGACAUAGUGAAAUGGGAAAGAAAUACCUUAAUAACUCCAGAAAUCAAGAAUGAUGAGGUAUGUAUUGCUACAGAUUCGCUUUAAAUCUCAAUUAAUGGCUAGCUUCUUGAGUUCUUUGUAUAUUCUGGAAAUCAGCCCUCUGUCAGAUGUGGAGUUGAUGAAGAUCUUUUCCCAUUCUGUGGGCUGUCUUGUUGACUGUGUCCUUUGCCUUACAGAAGCUUCUCAAUUUCAGGAGGUCCCAUUUAUUAAUUUCUGAUCUCAGUGUCUGUGCUGCUGGUGUUAUCUUAGGAAGCGGUCUCCUGCACCAAUCCGUUCAAGGGUACCACCUACCUUCUCUUCUCAAUGUGGCUGGAUUUAUGUUGAGGUCUUUGAUCCAUUUGGACUUGUUUUUUGCAUGGUGAUAGAUAUGGAUCUGUCUGCAGUCUUCUACAUGCCAGCAUCCUAGACACACUGGGGAGGAUCUAGGCAUUGCUCCAAAUGAUAUGACAGACUUUGAAGAUAUCCCAUGGAAGGCCUCACCCUCCCAGGAGAGCAGAAACGGGUUGGGACAGGGGGUCGGUGAGGGGUAGGGGAGAAGGGGAGGGAGAGGGAACUGGGAUUGGC
rnacentral:lncRNA from 1 species